rnacentral:rRNA from 1 species
GACGAACCGUGCGAACGUUGUUCGGAAUCACUGGGCUUAAAGGGCGCGUAGGCGGCUUGCCAAGUCGGGGGUGAAAUCCGGCAGCUUAACUGUCGAAGUGCCUUCGAUACUGGCAAGCUCGAGGGAGGUAGGGGUCUGUGGAACUUCUGGUGGAGCGGUGAAAUGCGUUGAUAUCAGAAGGAACGCCGGUGGCGAAAGCGACGGACUGGACCUCUUCUGACGCUGAGGCGCGAAAGCUAGGGGGAGCAAACAGGG